rnacentral:lncRNA from 1 species
GUGAUACGGAAGUGGAACUCUUUGUUAUUUUCCCAGAGUCAGAAGGAAGGCAUAAGCAUCCCACUUGAGGAAAAUAUCAUGCCUAUAAGCCCAGUUUCUCCCAGAUGUUCACUCAGGUCAUUCCUGAUGAGGUUCUCUUUAGACCUGCUGAAAGGAUGGCUUCUAUCUUCAGAUACAAAGUGUUUCUAUUGCUCCUUGCUGCUGCUGUUCUGUGAUCCAGUGAGUGAUGAAUGUGUCCUAAAGGUCUGCAGGAAGUCUAUAACAAAGAUUUUUAUGGAAUGUGGAUGUGAAAGAUACCAUGAUAGUGGCAAGAUUCCAUAAGUCUCUGAAAGAUCACCCAGGAAGGAAAGUGGCAUCUGGAAUUUAUCAUCUGUGAGCACCCUCAAGAAUGAGAAAGCAAAUGGCAGGAACACAGAAGGAUAAGCAGAAGAGCCAGUAUGAGUAAGUGAAACAACUAAAUUAUUGCCCUUGAGAAAUAGCCCUAAAAAUAUGAUUUCAAAGGAAAUAUGACUUCUGAAGAGAACCCUUUGUCCAUUAUAGAGAUGUUCCUGCUAAUCUUCACUGCCUGGGCAUUCCAUGUUACCAGCUUGAUGCUACGUACGAAGUGACCAAAUGCUGUAGUGGAGUUUCCACUUUUAUCUGAAGUUAUAUCCUCAAUAGUGGCUGUUGUACUGCAUUGAAGUCUUGCCCAAAUCUGUAGGUAGUGGGGGAGUUAGGGUACUCUUUGUGUACUUGAAUACAUGCAUAGUUUUCAUCAUAGUGAUGAAACCAGUGAUCUUAAUCUGAUAAAAAAUGGAAAACAAUGUUUUCUAGUUGACAAGUAGGUUUCAAAGCAGAAGCUAAUUUUAGAAUUAGUUUAGGAAAGCAAGUAAUUCUGGG